CACACACACGCACACAGGCCUCAACACACACACAAGCUGCAUUCGUGAACACAGGAGUCUCCCUAGAGGUGGGACGAGUGUGUCUCUUCCUGCGUGUUUGUGAUUUUUACACCUUUGAUGCAAUGUCGUCCAUUUGUUCUUAAACUUUUUUUUCUCACUUUUGCAAUCAACCUACAGUGUCACCAAAAUUAUAACACAACACACAGAAUAGAAACAUGCAUUUCUAUUUUACUGUCAGUGGCAGAAAACAAUAUGAAACUCAAGCAGCACAUUCAGACGACGUUAUAGCACCACCUAGUGGAGAAAAUAAAUUAAUGCUCACUGCAAAUAUGCCCCAAAGCAGUCACACUCAAACUACUACAGUGUCUACAUUCAUUUGAUGAGAUAAUUUUAACAGUGAAACAAUAAAGACAGUAAAUAAAGAUUAUCAGGUUUAAUGGCUGCACAACCAGCCAGUAAGCAGCCCAUCCCAUGACCCAGUUUAAUCUGUAAACCAGUAGGCUAAGGCAACACUGGUGUUGACACAGAAGAAUGUGUUGACUCUUCACCCUUUAGAACAGCUACACACCCUGGAAGAUCCCACAGGGAACAAUAAACUUUAGGUUAGUGUAUGUUGUUACAGUAUACUGCACUGCAUAACAUACUGAUAUAAAGUAGAGUUAGUAGAGUAUUUUAUUUUGCUAUAGUGACUAUAGUAGGCUUACAGUAUAGGCCUACUGCACUGUGCUAGAUUACUACUAAAAUAACCUAAUUCUACUAAUGAUGCAAGGAAAUCCAAGUGUCACCGCAGCAGAAGCUCAAGAAAAAAACUUUUUAAACUACAUCAUGAUGAAGCAUGAAGAAAUACAAUUACAAACGACAUACAAUAUACACCAACAUAAAUAACCUAUAAAAAAGUGCAUUUAGAGCAAAAUAGUCACAAAAAAGAGACAAGGAAUUUGCAGUAAAAACAAUUAAAUACGAAAAUUGUACUUACAGGAAUGAAAUUGGCUGGUGUAGAGUGGGAAAAGUGUGUUGUGUGUGCAGAAAGCAGUGUCAGCAGCGUAAAAUAUAGUUAUUGCACUAUAUAGUUAUAGUUAGUAGGCCUAUAGUGAGUUAAUUCUAAUACAAAGAAUAAAAAAAUAUGUAGUCCUUCCCAUUCAUGUAGUCAUGAAUGAUCUAAUGCUUCUUGAUUUAUGUUGCUUUAUUGUAGUCUUGUGUCUGGUAUUGUUUUGUCUGUAUUUUCUUUUUGAGUUAGGAGUUUUGAGUUUUAAUGUACAUAGGCCUACCUAUUGUUGAGUUUGUGUUUUUGUAGUUUUUCGUUGUUGAGUUUUAUGUAUUUUAUAGGCCCGUCUAGGUACGUUAUUGCAAAUUAGCUUAGCUAUUAAUGCUGUGGUGUGUGCUACAAAUUUGUCCCUAUACAAAUAAACAUUAAAAUAAAAAAUAAACACACAAUGUGAGAGUUGUAAAGCCAUCUUUAAUUUAUACAGCUUUGUCCAUGUGUAAAUGUAAAUAUACGUUAUAUUGCAUUGCAACUUUUGUCAGUUUGACCAGCAGUCGGCGCCAUAUUCCUUCUCUGGGCAUGAAGGCCUAUUACAAUUAUCACAAACACCAACAUGUUGCUUCAAAUCCAGGGCAGUGUGAAGUAACCCCAACCCCAAAAGUAUACCUGACUGGAGCGGUCGAUUGGCCCUGUGUAAGGGGCCAGAGUGCUGGAUCAGAAAACCGAGAAUACCCGCAUCUCACCCCUGCCUGCCUGGACAUCUUCAUCCAGCAAACACAAGACGUCUCCUUCCGCUAAAAACAACGUCCCAAUCCGUUUCAUUUUGGCAACAAAAGGAAACAUUGGAACCGCAGACCGAUAAUUAUGUAACAAUAUAGGCAGGGUCUAUAAUUAUCUUCUCGAUGUGUAAUGUAAUUUCAGCAGGAGAUUAAUUGGUCAUUCCAUUGAUUCCUUGCAAAGCAACACAUCCUGCUGAACAUUGAGCUUCAAGGGCCACAUUUGCAUCUAGUUUAAUUAGGCUAAGACAAGGUGAAUCUAGUUAAAUUCUAAUACAAAUAGAAAUGUCAGCCACAAAUUUAAGAGAACUGAUGCCAAACUCAGAGAUGAUAUCACAAAUUCAAAUUCAAAAAUAUAAAUCCGACAAAACGCCGCAGAAAUUCUCGGGGACUUGGCUUGUGUGAAAAGUGUAGGUCUUGCAUAAUUUAUUAAGAAAGCUGCAAUCCAUCCAUCCGUUUGUCCGUGCCUAUGGCUUUAUGUACAGGCAUUGAUCAUGUCGUGAAUCCAGAAACAAGAGAGUUUACAGCGCAGAUUCCGCCGGAGCUUCACAUCCAGCUCUGAGUAGCAGCCGAACCUUUCUUGUGUGGUGAAAAUGUUUGGACGAGGUGCGGUGCUCUGCCUUUAGUUGAUGCCUUUUACUGUACAAAUUUAAAAAAUAAAAUAAAAUAAAAUCAGCGAAGAAAACUGGCUUUUUUUCACCCAAGUUGGGCUGAGGUGACUGAGAUCCCGGUUAACUGCGGAUGUCCCUGACCAAUUCAAGCGUCUUUCUGCUUAACGAGGUGGGUUGUUUUCCGCUUUUCUCUUCUUCUUGGAUCUUUUCGGGGGUGGUCGAGGUAGUUGACGAAUGAAUGAGAAGAAGGGGUUUGAACGCAAGAUGCAGGCAUCG